AGCCAUAAGAUUUUGUGUUGUCUAAUGUCAAAUAACUUUAUAUACAUGAUCUUGAUGUUAAAGAAAAAGAAAAACUUAUAUGCAUGAUCUCAUGAUGCUAAAACAUAUACAAAAUUGUUUCUGCCGUAUAUCUACUUUAUUGAAAAUUAAAAAUGAAAGCUCCUAGCAGUAGAAUCAUUUAGACAUUUUAACGAAUCCCGUAUAUCAUUAAAUACACUUUGAAAGAUAAAAGCUCAAACCUAAUUUAUCAUCCAAUGACAAAAAUAAAACCUAUUUUUUUGCAAAAAAAAGACACAAGCGGUGCCCUUCUUCUCACGAACCGUGGCAGCACCACCACCGGACUUCAGCAAAGCAAUCCUGCAAUAUUCUUCCACAGAGGCACCAACAAAUUCUUCUAGAUACAUGCAAGCACAUGUGAAGAAAGCACAACAUCUCUUGAUUCAAUCUUCAUAAGAAAAGCUCUAUCUCAAUUACAAAAAAAAAAAAAAAAAGCUCUAUCUAAUACCCGUGAAAGGCUCUCCCGAUAGAUUGAGGAUGAUGAGGAUAUUAUUUCCAGAUGAAGAGAAAAGCAAGUUGGGAAAAACAAAAGAGCAAGUUCGGUGAAAU
rnacentral:lncRNA from 1 species